AUUGAACGCUGGCGGCAUGCCUUACACAUGCAAGUCGAACGGCAGCAUGGAGAGCUUGCUCUCUGAUGGCGAGUGGCGAACGGGUGAGUAAUGCAUCGGAACGUACCGUAUAAUGGGGGAUAACGUAGCGAAAGUUACGCUAAUACCGCAUACGACCGGAGGGUGAAAGCAGGGGAUCGCAAGACCUUGCGUUAUACGAGCGGCCGAUGUCAGAUUAGCUAGUUGGUGAGGUAAAGGCUCACCAAGGCGACGAUCUGUAGCGGGUCUGAGAGGAUGAUCCGCCACACUGGGACUGAGACACGGCCCAGACUCCUACGGGAGGCAGCAGUGGGGAAUUUUGGACAAUGGGGGCAACCCUGAUCCAGCCAUGCCGCGUGAGUGGAGAAGGCCUUCGGGUUGUAAAGCUCUUUCGGCCGGGAAGAAAUCGCACAGGCUAAUACUCUGUGUGGAUGACGGUACCGGCAUAAGAAGCACCGGCUAACUACGUGCCAGCCGCCGCGGUAA
rnacentral:rRNA from 1 species